UUUCUACUGAUAUAUAAAGUUAUAUGAAAUUAGUAUUAAGGAAAAAAGAUAUUGAGAGGCUAAUUUUAGUAUGUGUUUAUCUAUUUAUUUAUUUUUUUUUGAGAGAUAGGUAGCACGUUACCUGCUUCGUUUAUUUUAUUUAGAAAUAAACUUAGAUAGAAAUGUGUUUAUGUAUUUACGUUACCUGCUUCGUUUAUUUUAUUUAGAAAUAAACUUAGAUAGAAAUGUGUUUAUGUAUUUGUGAUUUUAAUACUGGUAUUUGAUUUAUCUUUGAAUCAAUA
rnacentral:lncRNA from 1 species